UACGGUGACUAUUGCAUUAGGGUCCACCUCUUCCCAUUCCGAACAGAGAAGUUAAGCCUAGUUGCGCAGAUGGUACUAGGGUAAUACCUGGGAGAGUAUGUCGUUGCCACUU
rnacentral:rRNA from 1 species